rnacentral:rRNA from 1 species
UACAGAGGGGGCAAGCGUUGCUCGGAAUCACUGGGCGUAAAGGGUGCGUAGGCGGGUCUUUAAGUCAGGGGUGAAAUCCUGGAGCUCAACUCCAGAACUGCCUUUGAUACUGAGGAUCUUGAGUACGGGAGAGGUGAGUGGAACUGCGAGUGUAGAGGUGAAAUUCGUAGAUAUUCGCAAGAACACCAGUGGCGAAGGCGGCUCACUGGCCCGUAACUGACGCUGAGGCACGAAAGCGUGGGGAGCAAACAGG